GUAGGGAGCAAGCGUUGUCCGGAUUUAUUGGGCGUAAAGAGCUCGUAGGUGGUUCGGUAAGUCAGGUGUGAAACCUCCAGGCUCAACCUGGAGACGCCACUUGAUACUGCUGUGACUGGAGUCCGGUAGGGGAGCGUGGAAUUCCGUGGUGUAGGCGGUGAAAUGCGCAGAUAUCAGGAGGAACACCAGCGGCGAAGGCGGCGCUCUGGGCCGGUACUGACACUGAGGAGCGAAAGCGUGGGUAGCAAA
rnacentral:rRNA from 1 species